CCUGCAUGUGCAGUGUGUAUAUACAAGGUAAAUAAACACAUCAAAUAAAAAACCCAAGUCAAUGACCAACAACUUGCAAUCGAUUACAGAGAUAACUUUAAUCAAUGUUGGGUUAGGAAUUUAUUAGAAAUCUGAUGAAGCUAGUACCUCCUACCUCCAUUGGCGAGAAGCAAAGAAUAUUAGUCCAAAGCCAAACGCUAGCAAGUGAUAUUAUUCAAACAAACAAAAAAACCAUUCAAGUGUACAAAUUAACCAAUCUAAACAAAAUAAAAAAUAAAUAAAAAAAAAACAUUACAUACAUACAUACGUGUAUGGUUUGUUUGGUUAAUUUUUUAUUAGGAAACCAAACAGGCUUAUUACUGGACCAAGGCUCUGCCAAGGGGCAAAUGCAAUUAUAGAAUCACGCAGGCGCAGGCGCAGUGCUGUACAGAUCAAGAUAUAUCACAAGCGUUAAUUAAGAAAUAUGGAAUGAAAUGAACUUAACCUGUCUAAUAUGUCUAAAAUCAUCCAAGGACUUAGCCGAGAAGAGAUGGACGGAGCUGAUCUUCCGAAGCAUGCGCCACCGUGGCCCAUAGGGUGCAAACACAAGGUCUUGGUAAUUAUAUGCAAUAUGUUUGGCACCGGAGUUUGGUGGCCUGCUAGAGAAGUUGGAAUCAUGUACUUUCAAAAACUGAGCAGCCACGGAAGCCGAUGCCGCCACCACCACGUCGACGAAGCCGAACCGGAGGUGCAUGAGAGGUCCAUAAGUCUUUGCCAGGGCUGCCAUGGAGUGGUGAGGCAUAGGCCCCAAAUGGGGUAGGUUUCCAACUAGGGGCCAUGGUUUUGGGCCUGGUGGAAGGGGUUUGCCGUGACGGUCACGAAGGCUUCGCAGCUGAAGAAGGCAAUAGACGAAGAUGGCCAAUAGUGCCGAGUAAAGUAUUAGAGGAGACAUGAUUAUCUCUUGUUUCCUGUAUUAACUUGAAA